rnacentral:rRNA from 1 species
UUCCAGACUCCUACGGGAGGCAGCAGUGGGGGAUAUUGCACAAUGGGGGGAACCCUGAUGCAGCGACGCCGCGUGGGUGAAGGAGUGCUUCGGCAUGUAAAGCCCUAUCGGCAGGGAAGAGAAGCGAACAGGUUCGCCUGGACGGUACCUGACUAAGAAGCCCCGGCUAACUACGUGCCAGCAGCCGCGGUAAUACGGAGGGGGCAAGCGUUAUCCGGAUUCACUGGGUGUAAAGGGAGCGUAGACGGCGACGCAAGUCUGGAGUGAAAGCCCGGGGCCCAACCCCGGGACUGCUCUGGAAACUGCGUCGCUGGAGUACGGGAGGGGCAGGCGGAAUUCCUGGUGUAGCGGUGAAAUGCGUAGAUAUCAGGAGGAACACCGGUGGCGAAGGCGGCCUGCUGGACUGCAACUGACGUUGAGGCCCGAAAGCGUGGGGAGCAAACAGGAUUAGAUACCCCCGUAA